UUUGUAUUAUGUGCGGAAAUUGUUACAAUUUUUGAGCUAAAAAUGGUAACAAUUUCCACACGUAAUACAAA
rnacentral:miRNA from 1 species